rnacentral:rRNA from 1 species
UACGUAGGGGGCGAGCGUUGUCCGGAUUUAUUGGGCGUAAAGAGCUCGUAGGCGGUUUGGUAAGUCGGAUGUGAAAUCUCCAGGCUCAACCUGGAGGGGUCAUUCGAGACUGCCAUGACUAGAGUUCGGUAGAGGAAGUCGGAAUUCUCAGUGUAGCGGUGAAAUGCGUAGAUAUUGGGAAGAACACCAGUGGCGAAAGCGGACUUCUGGGUUGUUACUGACGCUGAGGUACGAAAGCGUGGGGAGCAAACGGG